AGCUGGUGCUCUAGUGGUUGAAGAGCAAAGCUCUUGUACAAGAGGUCAGAGGUUCGAACCUUGCCUCUCCCGUUAUUUUAUUUAUGUCGCUUAUGACAUAAUAAAUAUAACACGUGAGCAUAUAUUAAUGAAGGCAGCUCUUGCUUCAGUGGUUGGGAGCAAAACCUUCGUGUUCGAGGUCGGGAGUUCGAACCUUACCUCUUACAAAUAUUUUUGGAUCUCGUAUAUGCUUGAUAUACGGACGUAUAUACGGUAUGUACGGCAUACAUACGUAUAUACGGUCUGUACGGUAUGCAUACGUAUAUACGGUCUGUACGGUAUACAUACUUAUAUACGGUAUGUACAAUUUCAUACCGUAGCCGAGCUGGAAGUUGGUAGGCCCAAAUAGUAAGCCCAAAUAGUAAGCCCAAUUGUUCGGCCCGAUUGGUAAGCCCAAAUGUUAAGCCCAAUUGUUCGGCCCGAAUGGUAGGCCCAAAUGUUAAACCCAAAUUGGUUCGGGCCGGUUCGAAAUGUGGAUGGUUCGGUUUCUUCGGCCCAAUUGGCCAGCCCUAAUGCUUAGCCCAAGGAUUGAGCAAGCCCAAGUCAUCAUCACUGGGUAACAUAUUUUAUUGGCGUGCUUUUGGGGACGAAUUGUUUUGAGUGAUGCAUCUCUAUUGUUGUGUAGAAUGGUGCAUGCUUGAGUUUUACUAUAGAGACUUACCGUGAUGCUAAUUGAGUAGCGAAACACUUUGUGGGAGUGUUUACUGUGCUUGUAUGCCAGUACAAAGUGUUGAUCUAUGUGAGGAUCUAUGAGAUGAUCCAUGUGACGAUUUUGUGUAUGUGAUGUGGAGUGUUGUUGAGCAGUUGUUGUGUGAGUUUACGUUUGUGAUGAAAGGAUUUAGUGGCCAUAGGAAUGUAUUUUUAUACAAAGAGCUGAGGCUCUGUAGAUUACUACAGAUUUGGAAAAGAUGGAGAUUCUAUGGUUAGGUCAACCUUAAUCGAGAGGAAUUGACUUGCGCUUAAAUUUCGGGACGAAAUUUCUUUAAGGAGGGUAGAUUGUAAUACCCGAAAAAUUCAAAUUAACGUCCGAUGUCAUUUUGGAAAUGAUUUCGUAGGCGUGGGCACGAAUACGAAGCUUGAAGGAGUUGUGGAAUUAGUUCGAACGAUUUUAUUUCGAAAACGAACGUUAUUUAGGGGGUCUUAAAAAGUGACUUCUUAUACGUACAGAAUUUGGGAAAACUUUCUUCAUGAAAGUUGUAGAGCUCGUCGAUACGAUCUCGUGCGUAUGUUGAACGCAAUAUUCGGAGUUUGUAUGAAUAAGUUAUGAAUAUUUGAAAAUCGGGAUUUUUUUUCUAUAAAUAUGGAGAAUUUCUGGAAUUUUUCUUAAAUCCCAAAAUUUCCUAUUCUUUCUAUUUUCUCCCCCGGUUUUCUCUCUUCUCUCUCCUCUCCCCCGACCUUUUUCUCUUCUUUCUGGGCGUUCUUCCUCUGCCAGCAGCGCCACCGUCCGGCCACCUCAAGCCGCUCUCGAGGUGUCCACGGCUUCGCCUCGACGUCGUCUAGCUACUGGACGUGACCACUUUCCCCGGAACGGCCUCAAAUCCGGCAAACCGGAGCUGCAAGGUUUGAGCCAAAAACAGUCAACGCCGGUUUUCUCCUAAUUCCGGCCACCAAAACUCACGAUCCUUAGCUCCCUGAACUCACCUCAACAUGCUGAUCAUCAUCCUAGAAGGAUCGCACCUGGAGUGACCGGAUUCACGUUCGUCGGAGCUCGGCCGGCUUUAAUUCGAAAACCACCUUCGAAUCCGAUUUUCUCGAGUUAUAGACCACCUUUUCUUGUGAUUCUUGGCCUGGUGAGUUCACCUUGAGAUUAUUAACAACUCUCAAGAAGGGAUCGAGGCCUGAGGUUGAAGUUUUUACGUCGGAAUUCAAGCUCGCCGGAUUCUGGAAAAUUUCCGACCACGAAGACUUUCGAUCACGAUAUCGCGAGCUGUAGUGCAUCGUUUUGAUUGAUUCUUUUUCCAGUGGGUUCCCCUUGAUGUUGUUAACAACUCUCUAGAAGGCAUCGAGGCCUGAAAUUGAAUCUUUGACGUCGAAAUCGAGCCUUGCCGGAUUCUGCAAAAUUCUGGAAUUUUUCCGACCACCGAAGCUUUCGAUCGGUAUAUCUCGAGCUACAGACCAUAUUUUUCUGUGAUUCUUGAACCAGUGAGUUCUUCUUGAGUUUCUUAACAACUCUUCAGAAGGAAUCGAAGCCUUAAAUUGACGUUUUUACGUCGAAUUGGAGCUCGCCGUUUUCUGCAGUUUCUCGCCGGUUUCUGGAAAAUUCCGGCCACCUUCAUACUGUUCAAGGUGAUUGACGGUUUGAGUUGGCGGACGAUUGUGAAUCGUAUUUUGAGCUGUUAAGAAGACGCAGCGGGAUUAGAGGUGAUUGACGGUUUGAGUUGGUGGACGAUUGUGGAUCGUAUUUUGAGCUGAAUUGAAGACGCAGCGGGAUUAUCGAGCGGGUAAUCCUACAGGACAGGAGAACCAGGACGGUGAUCGCGCGGUUAGAGCAAUUGUUAGAGUUUUACAACAAUUGUAAGUUGUGAGGUGUGUUAUGCUCAUUUGAGCUUUAUAAUAUAUUGUGAGAGUGAAUUGUAAUAAUGAACUCGAAGUUUCGAGAUUUGGAUUUUGUAAUUGUAAUUAUUCAGGUUUCGGAUUUGAAUUUAUCAUUCAAAAUCCGGGGCGUGACAGUUUGGUAUCAGAGCGUAAGGUGCAUAUUUGGUGAUGUGUCAAUACCUUCCGAGUGAUGGCCCGUCUGCAGCGGAUCCCCAUCGUGUGCUCUUCGGUAUUGGCUAAGUCAUUGGGUAUGCGUGAGUGUUGGGAGUUGUUUAGGCCGCUAGGUCGUUUAGGGAACGUGAAUACAUUCCCUAUAGUAUUGACUUGGUUAAUAUGAAUUUGUAUUUGACUUAUACUGUGUUUUAAGUGUUAUACAAGUAUUAGCCAAGCAUACUAUACUCCUUAGGUGAUGGAUAUUCGAAAGGGUUGUACUUAGAACCUUACAGUUGUCUUGUAGGUUCGUAUGGGAAUAAGUUCAGUGGCCGCGAGUUACAAUCCUUGAGGAAUAGGAACCUCUUGAUUCAACUCUGUUAAGUCAACGAGGAUUGUUUUAUGGAAAUGAGGUUCUUUUGAUUGUUGAAGUGUUUGGUUGAAGGCAUGGUCUGGACCUAUGCUCGUCUGUAAUGUGGAUACGAGUAUUAAUCGAUGGUAAUUUUGCCUUUUUAAGUUGGAUAUACUAAUGUUCUUGAAUAGAUUCUUGACUCAUGUGGAGUUGUGAGUAGUGUUGCGGUUAGGGAAGGAAUUAUUGCGGUUACUUCUUCCUUGUGCUUGUAAGUUGUUAAGCAGGGUUUAAGGUGCGAGACAAGAAUUUUAUUUUGUGCUCGAUGGUUAGAGAUGAGAGACCAUUGUUUUGGGUUGUCGUUGAGUACUAUAAUUCCUUCAGAAUCAAGAUUGUUGGUAGAAUUGGAAUUAGUAGUAGUUUUGGUGAUUCUGAAUUUGAAUUGAGUUCGCGAGAUGUGUCUUAUAUACGUGGUUGAUGUUACUUGCAUCAUUUUGGAACGAUACGUUACGAUUCAUAAGGAAAACUGGAUUUGAAAUUUAUUCAUUUGAACACCAUGGGUUGAUGACCUGACCGUGACUUGUGAAUAUAGUUUUGUUCAAGUGAAUGAAAUUGAAUUUUGUGGCCUUUGUGUGGUGAACUAGUUUUCUUAAGUUUUGGAUCGUAGUAUGGAGAUGGGCUGCAGUGAAUUUGAAGUUGUUGUGUGUUUUAAGUUUAAGUAGGCGGGACACUUAAAGUUUUGCAAUGGAGUUGAUUUUGGUGUAAUUAAUUGGGAGAGUUAGAAUCAGUUCUUGUGAAUGAUGUUGGAUGAGAGUGUGUGCCUUUGGUGAUUGAUUUUAGGUGUUAUAGUUAAACGCAAUUUCGGAUAUUGAUUUUAGUGAUUUUGUUAGGUAUCCAUAGUGGUUCAAGUGAAUUACUAUGUGAUAUGGAGUUUGAUUUGAUUUCUGAAUCGCUAAAUGUUAGGGAUUGAAUUGUGGUGAGUUUUUGUUGAAGCAAUUGAUAGAUGGAAUUAUCGAGAUUCUAUAAGAGUUGUAAGAGUAACUCUAAAAACGUGGGUUUUUCCUAGCUAACUCAGGAUGUGUUUAGCUUUAUAAAUCCCUAAUCCUAUCGAUGAAAUUGUUGUGUUUGGUUUGACUCAGAGGAUACUAGCUAGACCUCGAUGCGACUUAAUUGAUUGUUGGAUUCUUUUUGAGUGAUUGUUUUUAUUGCAUCAUUAUGUAAGAUGUGUGCAGUAGAGUUGUUUAUGGUUUUGAAAAUAGUAUUGGGUGACCAAGGUUCGAUCCUUGGUGUUGUUGUUGGUUAAACAAAAAGAAGAAACAACAUGCACACUAUCUUAUUGAUUUAUUAUUACAAAAAGGAAAUUGGAACUACGCUAUACUAAGCCUAAUCAGUAGCUCCGGAU